AGUGAACGCUGGCGGUAGGCCUAACACAUGCAAGUCGAACGGCAGCACAGGAGAGCUUGCUCUCUGGGUGGCGAGUGGCGGACGGGUGAGGAAUACAUCGGAAUCUACUCUGUCGUGGGGGAUAACGUAGGGAAACUUACGCUAAUACCGCAUACGACCUACGGGUGAAAGCAGGGGAUCUUCGGACCUUGCGCGAUUGAAUGAGCCGAUGUCGGAUGAGCUAGUUGGCGGGGUAAAGGCCCACCAAGGCGACGAUCCGUAGCUGGUCUGAGAGGAUGAGCAGCCACACUGGAACUGAGAAACGGUCCAGACUACUACGGGAGGCAGCAGUGGGGAAUAUUGGACGAUGGGCGCAAGCCUGAUCCAGCCAUACCGCGUGGGUGAAGAAGGCCUUCGGGUUGUAAAGCCCUUUUGUUGGGAAAGAAAUCCAGCUGGCUAAUACCCGGUUGGGAUGACGGUACCCAAAGAAUAAGCACCGGCUAACUUCGUGCCAGCCGCCGCAGUAA
rnacentral:rRNA from 1 species